rnacentral:rRNA from 1 species
AUGACUAUUGUGCUGCUAUAUGAAGCACCUGUUGGCAUUGCAAUUUUCUCUUUUGAUGGGGACUACCUCAAUGAUCUAGCAAAGUUUCUGAAGGAAUUCGUACGAAAUGAGACGGUGGCCUCCCUAGUUGACAUAGCUAAUAAUGCUAUUGACGAUCACCUGGCCAAGAGGCUCACCGACUUGUGUGGUUAUGAGAAGAAAUUAGUUGUAGGGUGUACUGAAUGUAAAGUAAUAAUUGAAAAGAACCUGCUUAGUAGUUAUUUGACACCGCUGAUUGCAUGUCACCACCUGCUGCAUGUGCAUGUUGACAUUCCGGAUUGUGAGAUGAGAAUUUACACUCAGAAGAAGCCCAUGCGUACUUUAUCGUCUAAAAGACUAUCAGAUCCUAAUGAAGAUUCAGUGAUAUUCUUAGAUCAUCAUGACAUUACUUGCAAGCUUGAGAUGGUCCACCGAGGUUGGUUGACACCCAUU